CAGCACGUCAGUUUCGACAUAAACCAUGUUCUCUGGAGCUCUGCUGCUGCUGUUGGCAGCUGGAUGUGUGAAGUGUGAACAGUUGACCCAGCCAGCCUCUGUGACUGUGCAGCCAGGUCAACGUCUGACCAUCACCUGUCAGGUCUCUUAUUCUCUUGGCUACUACACAGCUUGGAUCAGACAGCCUGCAGGGAAAGGACUGGAGUGGAUUGGAGUGAAAAAUACUGGAGCUUCAUACUACAAAGAUUCCCUGAAGAACAAGUUCAGUAUCGACUUAGAGACUUCCAGCAAGACAGUGACUCUAAAUGGACAGAAUGUGCAGCCUGAAGACACUGCUGUGUAUUACUGUGCCAGAGAGCCACAGUAACACAAACCAUCAGUAGACCUGAACAAAAACCCCUCA